rnacentral:rRNA from 1 species
UUAUUGCUAUCCGGAUUCGACUAAGCCAUGCAAGUCUUGAUGUUCAUCUUUGGACAUUAGGGCAGAAAGCUCAGUAACAUGUAGUUGAUAUGCCCUCAAGUCAGGGAUAAUCUCGGGAAACUGAGGCUAAUACCUGAUAGAUAAGAAGUACUGGAAUGUUUUCUUUUCUAAAGCUUUUGCGCUUGGGGAUUGGACUGCACCGGAUUAGGUUGUUGUUAGGGUAACGUCCUGGCAAGCCGAUAAUCCGUACGAGCCUUGAGAGAGGAAGCUCGGAGUUGGAUUCUGAGACAAGAAUCCAGACCCUACGGGGUGCGGCAGGCGCGAAACUUUCCCAAUGCACGCAAGUGUGAGGAAGGGAUCUGGAGUGCAUUCUCUUAUAUAGGGGAUGCUUUUGUGGAGUGUAAACAGCUCCAAGAAUAAGUGGUGGGUAAGACGGGUGCCAGCCGCCGCGGUAAUACCCGCGCCACGAGUGAUAACCACGAUUAUUGGGCUUAAAGCGUUCGUAGCCGGUCCAAAAAGUCUUUAGUGAAAUCCCGUAGCUAACUACGGGGCUUGCUAGGGAAACUAUUGGACUUGGAACCGGGAGAGGUCUGGGGUACUCAAGGGGUAGGGGUAAAAUCCUGUAAUCCUUUGGGGACCACCUGUGGCGAAGGCGCCAGACCAGAACGGAUUCGACGGUGAGGGACGAAAGCCAGGGGGAGCAAAGGGGAUUAGAUACCCCCGUAGUCCUGGCUGUAAACGAUGCCCACUAGACAUUUGGCAAUCUUACGUGGGUUGUCAGUGCCGUAGCGAAAGCGUUAAGUGGGCCCCCUGGGGAGUAC